UAGAAUAUUGUGUAAUUGGGUAGCACGAAGAAUUUUGGAUUCUUAAGUAUAGGUUCAAUUCCUGUAAUUCUAG
rnacentral:tRNA from 1 species